AAUUCAAAUGGUCAUCCUCAAAAAUUUAACUUUCAUUUAUUUUCAAAUAAAACUAUAUGAAACAUAAAUGAAUUAUUGGUGACACGUGGUCGGUAUUGAUCAUCCCAUUUGUCAAAACUUUGACCAAAAGGGAUAUCUCUCAAUGGGUCCAGUGUACUAUUACUACCAUUGAUCCAAAGAAAAAACUUUGUUUGAAUCGAGUAUGAGUCCGGUUUUUAUGCAACUUUCUUCCCAGUUCACAAGCCACAAAAAUCUAAAAUCGAUUUUCUAGGAAAGUCCUGCAACCAAACACUCAAAUUAAUCCUAUGAUUGUUGCCGCCGGAUCGACAAAAGAAUGCCAAGUGUCCGUGAUGCAAAUUGUCGGGGCCCACUUGGUCCUCUUGAUAGGGUGCCAAUUAAGCCCUAGCCGGCCUUAUUUUCCAUGUCAUAUUCCAAUGAGGUGUUAGAUAUGAGUCAAUUUUAGCAUCAAUUUAAUGAAAGUGAGAAAUGUCAUUUUCUUUUUUCUUUUUUCCCCUUCCUUUGAGGGUAUUUUUAUUUUUGAGAUCCUCUAUUUUUAUUUUUUUUUAUAUUUAUUGCUUAUAAUAGUACAUUCUUUUUAUACAAAAAAGUGAUUUUAAAGGAGCAAUUUUAUCCUUACGUGCCCAAAUAAAAAUUUUUGGGACCAUAUUCUUGUCUUAAUGCACAAAAUACAUGCAAAGCGAUUGUGUUUGUCAAAAUUCAACUUUGUGCUCAUUUCAUGUCAAAAUCAAUCCCAUGAAAAUGACAUAGUGAGGGCAUCCGGACAAAGUGACUCAUAAUAUGACAAAAAAUAAUUGCUUUAUAAGUGAAUCUUAUCUUUUUUUAAAAAAAUUGAGAUUUAAGUAUUUUAGAGGGCAUUUUUUUUUUCAUAUUCUAAAGAAUAAGAAUACUUUGGGAUAGCCAAAAUACUCUUUUCGUUAUCUUACGGCUUGUUAGAAUUUUAGAAUUUAAUUUUGCCAAUAAGAUAUACUAAUAUAGUAUUGGUGAAAUUCAAAAUGUUUGAAAAUUAGUAUAUUAAGAAUAAAUUUUGCGAAUAAGUUAAACUUCAAAAUGCGUUCAUGAAAGAGCUUUCCAAAUUUAUAUAUAUACAAUCAGAAAUCAAUUCAAUACUGCCCAAGAUUUUACUCUUAUAAAUUGCUCACAAAUACAUCAUAUUAUUAACAUUCAGAAAUUUCCAUGAGUAUCACCAUAUGCCCAAUCCGACAGAAUAUUGGCAGUUAUCCAUUCUUACGAUGGGCUUGGAAAAAUCCACCAUUUUUAUUGUUAAUUAUACCGUUAACUAAUUACAUAAACAUUAAAAUUAGUUGAAGGAAGGCUGCUUAUUAUUAUUAUUAUUAUUAGCAGCAUGGUAGUUAAAUGUCCAAGUAAUGUGACCCAUGCUUACCGAAUUAAUUAAUAAAAUGUUCAUGAUUUGAAGAUUUAUGCGAAGUUGUGAACAUAAUUAAAUAAUAAAAUAUAGAUCGACACAGUAGUGUUUAUGCUGACAGAUUUUGCUAUUCUUAUUGACUGACAAAUGAUAUAUGAUUCCAACUUUAUGCAAUUUAUUAAUGUUUGAUUCUUUUAAGUGUUAAUAGUAUUUGUUAAAUAAUGUAUAUUGAAUUCAUUUUUCAAGCGUUUCUCUUCUCAUUGGGAUAAUAUUGGAUAAUGAAAUUAAAAUAUUAAACACUUUGAAUUUUCGUUUUGAUGAGAAAUAAAAAAGAAUAUCGAUAAUUUAAGUAGCUGAGAAAAUGCAUCUCAAGUACGCCAAUUGAUGGGUAUGAGAAGAUUAAUGUUUGAUCCCAAUGAUAAUUUUAAAAAGUUAAAAAUUAAUAUGUAUAUAAUCCAAACUCGUGAGCAUAUUAAGCAAUAAAAUUUAUUUCUCAAUUAUAUAUUAAACUUAUAAAAUUAUUAAAGAAAAUCACCACAUCGUUCGUACAGCUAUUCGUUAAAAAUAAUUUUCAUACUUUUAUUUCUCUCUAAUUAAUUCAACAAAAAAGAUGUAAUGGGAUACAAAUAUCAUUUAUGUACAAAUUCCAAAUUGAAAUACAAUAGUCUAACAAAUUAUUAAGAACGUGUAUAUUUGAUGCUUAUUUAAUUAAUCACUUAAUUUAACAUGCAAUGGAAGAGCAUAGACCGCACCAAAAAUAUAAUUUUCAAAUUGGAUUUGGGUCAGUAGUCAUUUCCCCUAAUGUUGAUGGGUCAAUUUAUGUAAUCUAUGUCAUGUAGCAAGCAAUUCAUUUCAAUUUUAUAAUUUUCACAGUCAAUAUGAUGGUGCCAUGAUAAGAUCAAGCACCCACUAAGAUUUGAUUGGGGAUUGAGGAGAUAUGAGAUGUAGAAUUUAAUUUUUAAUUUAAUUUCUAUUUAAAUAUACCCCUUAAUUUAUUGAAAUAAUCUUUUAAAUUUUUAAAAAAGGAUUUUCACAAAAAAAAAGAAUUUUAUUUCUUACGAUAAAUUGUUGUAAUAUUAUUCUAUAUAUAGAUGAAAUUCACUUC
rnacentral:lncRNA from 1 species